GGCAUGAUGGCCAAGUGGGACGGCGUCGGUCACGUAAACCGAAGAUCAUGGGUUCAAUCCCUGUCAAAAGCCU